UACGUAGGGGGCAAGCGUUGUCCGGAAUUAUUGGGCGUAAAGAGCGUGUAGGCGGUCCGGUAAGUCGGCUGUGAAAGUCCAGGGCUCAACCCUGGGAUGCCGGUCGAUACUGCCGGACUAGAGUUCGGAAGAGGCGAGUGGAAUUCCCGGUGUAGCGGUGAAAUGCACAGAUAUCGGGAGGAACACCUAUGGCGAAGGCAGCUCGCUGGGACGUUACUGACGCUGAGACGCGAAAGCCAGGGGAGCGAACGGG
rnacentral:rRNA from 1 species